AGUGAACGCUGGCGGUAGGCCUAACACAUGCAAGUCGAACGGCAGCACAGUAAGAGCUUGCUCUUACGGGUGGCGAGUGGCGGACGGGUGAGGAAUACAUCGGAAUCUACUUUUUCGUGGGGGAUAACGUAGGGACACUUACGCUAAUACCGCAUACGACCUACGGGUGAAAGCAGGGGAUCUUCGGACCUUGCGCGAUUGAAUGAGCGGAUGUCGGAUUAGCUAGUUGGCGGGGUAAAGGCCCACCAAGGCGACGAUCCGUAGCUGGUCUGAGAGGAUGAUCAGCCACACUGGAACUGAGACACGGUCCAGACUCCUACGGGAGGCAGCAGUGGGGAAUAUUGGACAAUGGGCGCAAGCCUGAUCCAGCCAUACCGCGUGGGUGAAGAAGGCCUUCGGGUUGUAAAGCCCUUUUGUUGGGAAAGAAAAGCAGCAGGUUAAUACCCCGCUGUUCUGACGGUACCCAAAGAAUAAGCACCGGCUAACUUCGUG
rnacentral:rRNA from 1 species